rnacentral:rRNA from 1 species
GGUGAACGCUGGCGGCGUGCCUAAUACAUGCAAGUCGAGCGAAUGGAUUAAGAGCUUGCUCUUAUGAAGUUAGCGGCGGACGGGUGAGUAACACGUGGGUAACCUGCCCAUAAGACUGGGAUAACUCCGGGAAACCGGGGCUAAUACCGGAUAACAUUUUGAACCGCAUGGUUCGAAAUUGAAAGGCGGCUGCGGCUGUCACUUAUGGAUGGCCCCGCGUCGCAUUAGCUAGUUGGUGAGGUAACGGCUCACAAAGGCAACGAUGCGUAGCCGACCUGAGAGGGUGAUCGGCCACACUGGGACUGAGACACGGCCCAGACUCCUACGGGAGGCAGCAGUAGGGAAUCUUCCGCAAUGGACGAAAGUCUGACGGAGCAACGCCGCGUGAGUGAUGAAGGCUUUCGGGUCGUAAAACUCUGUUGUUAGGGAAGAACAAGUGCUAGUUGAAUAAGCUGGCACCUUGACGGUACCUAACCAGAAAGCCACGGCUAACUACGUGCCAGCAGCCGCGGUAA